rnacentral:rRNA from 1 species
CGCUUAGAUGGUCUGGGCGGCACGCGCGCUACAAUGAUGCAUUCAGAAAGUCUUCUGACCUUAGAAGGUUGGGUAUUCUCCAAAGUGCAUCGUGAUGGGAAUAGUUUAUUGCAAUUUUUAAUCUUGAACGAGGAAUUUCUAGUAAAUACAGGUCAUCAACUUGUGUUGAUUACGUCCCUGCCCUUUGUACACACCGCCCGUCGCUACUACCGAUUGAACGGUUUAGUGAGGGCCUCGGAUUGGUCUCGGCCCGCUCUUUACCGGGCGGCGCCGUUGGUCGAGAAGACGCUCGAACUUGAUCGUUUAGAGGAAGUAAAAGUCGUAACA